UGGAAUUCUGGUUAUUUACUGAAUAUCUCUUGCCAAUUUUCUGCCUGGUGUCAGCCAAAAUGAGCAAUGGAAACAAUCAUGAUGUCACAAAGGCAUGGUCAGCACGAAGUCAGACCCAUCGUGGGUGCAGGUCACAGCUUGCAAGCAAGCAAGCUCCACUAGCAGAACAGAACUGUUGGGUGUGGCUGAGGGGAAUCUAGAACACAGGCAGAGGAGGGAGAGUAUAAAUAUCAACUAACGCUCAGCACCAAAUGCAGAAGUGGUGAACGCUGCUUGGUCUACCAUCCUCUUGCUAUGUGGCAUUGGUCAGAAUUUAGUCAUGUGGACAUACCAAACUGCAAAUGAGGCUGGGAAAUGAAUUGUAGCUACAUGCCCAGGAGGAAGGAGACUUGGCCUGAAUUAUUUCUUGCAGAAGAUCCAAAAACCUUCUGUUGGGGUCUGAAUUGGGACUCCUUUCCUGUAGCAUCUUUCUGGUGACCACUGAAGGGACUAUAGUGCAGAAAACCCCCACCCAAAGGCUAACUUUCGAUGCAGAACCCAUGGAAACAGAAGGGAAACUAAAUGUUAGAAUCUGAUCAUGUGAAGCUUUGGUCACCAAAGAAAUGAAUAGACGAGGUCUAAACUAUGUUACCCAAGAUGGUCUUGAACUCCUGGGCUCAAGUGAUCUGCCUACCUUGGCCUCCCAAAGUGCUAG
rnacentral:lncRNA from 1 species